UAAUGUUAAUGGAGUGCUGUGAGAGACUGUCUCUCGCUAUCUGUCAUAAGUGAAUUAGGUGAGAAUCCUAAACUGUACCCGCAACUGUAAACGGUGAUAACCGUGAGUCAGAUCCCGGCAGAUAGCAAAACGUA
rnacentral:ncRNA from 11 species